AUUGAACGCUGGCGGCAGGCUUAACACAUGCAAGUCGAGCGGGGGAAGGUAGCUUGCUACUGGACCUAGCGGCGGACGGGUGAGUAAUGCUUAGGAAUCUGCCUAUUAGUGGGGGACUACAUCUCGAAAGGGAUGCUAAUACCGCAUACGUCCUACGGGAGAAAGCAGGGGAUCACUUGUGACCUUGCGCUAAUAGAUGAGCCUAAGUCGGAUUAGCUAGUUGGUGGGGGAAAGGCCUACCAAGGCGACGAUCUGUAGCGGGUCUGAGAGGAUGAUCCGCCACACUGGGACUGGAACACGGCCCAGACUCCUACGGGAGGCAGCAGUGGGGAAUAUUGGACAAUGGGGGGAACCCUGAUCCAGCCAUGCCGCGUGUGUGAAGAAGGCCUUAUGGUUGUAAAGCACUUUAAGCGAGGAGGAGGCUCUUUUGGUUAAUACCCAAGAUGAGUGGACGUUACUCGCAGAAUAAGCCCCGGCUAACUCUGUGCCAGCCGCCGCCGUAA
rnacentral:rRNA from 1 species